GAUGAACGCUAGCGGCAGGCUUAAUACAUGCAAGUCGAGGGGCAGCAUGAUUGUAGCAAUACAAUUGAUGGCGACCGGCAAACGGGUGCGGAACACGUACACAACCUUCCAACAAGUGGGGGAUAGCCCAGAGAAAUUUGGAUUAAUACCCCGUAACAUAGCGAUGUGGCAUCACAUUGCUAUUAUAGAUUUUUCGCUUGUUGAUGGGUGUGCGGCUGAUUAGAUAGUUGGCGGGGUAACGGCCUACCAAGUCUACGAUCAGUAGCUGAUGUGAGAGCAUGAUCAGCCACACGGGCACUGAGACACGGGCCCGACUCCUACGGGAGGCAGCAGUAAGGAAUAUUGGACAAUGGACGCAAGUCUGAUCCAGCCAUGCCGCGUGAAGGAUUAAGGUCCUCUGGAUUGUAAAUUUCUUUUAUAAGGGACGAAAAAAGGCUUUUCUAAGUCGUCUGACGGUACCUUAUGAAUAAGCACCGGCUAACUCCGUGCCAGCAGCCGCCGUAAAAC
rnacentral:rRNA from 1 species